rnacentral:lncRNA from 1 species
AGAAAAAAAAUUAAGUAGGAAUACUUUCCAUUUAGCUAUUUUAGGGAUAAAUAACUAAAAUCAUAAGAGAAAACAUAACUCAACAAAGAAGUGCAUAAAUCCUAUCGUGAGACUUAGAAGUUUGGCAUAAAACACUAGGUUACAUUGUUUCCUCAUUUGUCAUGACAUGUCAUAUCACCUUAACACACUUAGUAAAAUUAUUAAAUGGAUCAAUGUCUAACAUGUCCCUUAACUCUUUU